rnacentral:misc_RNA from 1 species
UUUCCGUAGGUGAACCUGCGGAAGGAUCAUUCACAAUAAGUGCUUUAUGGCACUGUUUCAAUCCAUAUCCACCUUGUGUGCAAUGUUGUCUUGUAGUGCGAAUGCUUGUCAUUUGCGCUACAGGAUGUAAACAUCAACUCUUAUCUUUAACAACUUUGUCUAAAACCUGUAUGAAUACUUAAUUCAAAUACAACUUUCAACAACGGAUCUCUUGGCUCUC